rnacentral:tRNA from 1 species
GGUAAGAUGGCUGAGGGUUAAGCGGUGGGUUGUAGCCCCAAAUACAAAGGUUUAAGUCCUUUUCUUGUCA